rnacentral:rRNA from 1 species
CUACGGGCCGCUGCAGGCGCGAAACCUUUACAAUGCACGCAAGUGUGAUAAGGGAAUCCCUAGUGCUCAUGUACUGCAUGGGCUUUUGCUAAGUGUAAAUAGCUUGGCGAAUAAGUGGUGGGUAAGACUGGUGCCAGCCGCCGCGGUAACACCAGCGCCACGAGUGGUAACCACGUUUAUUGGGCCUAAAGCGUCCGUAGCCGGUUUGGUAAAUCUUUUGUGAAAUUGUUCAGCUUAACUGAACAGCGUGCAAGAGACACUGCCAAACUCGAGGCCGGGAGGAGUCAGAAGUAUUCCAGAGGGAGCGGUAAAAUGUUAUAAUCUCUGGAGGACUACCUGUGGCGAAGGCGUCUGACCAGAACGGAUCUGACGGUGAGGGACGAAAGCCAGGGGAGCGAACCGGAUUAGAUACCCCAGUAGUC